CAGCAGAAGGAAGGCACGAGCACAUGCCUGGGGUGAACGGGGAAGAAGAGAUGCAACUGGAAUGGCCCCUUCUGAGAGAGGAGACCCAUAGGCUUUAGAGCUGUGACGGUGACACAUCACACGCAUGUAGCUCUACCUUCUGGAAUGUGGGAGAUGGCAUACUCAGAGAGGACAGCAAGGUGAAAGACAGGAAGUCAAUAAGGUGAAGCACCAGGCUAGCCAAUCAGGAAGCUGUACCUGCCCCCCCAGACCUGAACGGGCAUGGAGCAGAAGUCACCAGCAUCCCAGAAGAGUCCUCUGACAGGAGCUAGGGUAUUUCACAAAGGCUUCGGUAACCCUGGGGAA